GUUUCCACUCUGCUCCUCCGAGCAUGUAGCUACCUGGGAGCUGGACUGGAUGAGGCAUUUGCAAAAUGCUAUAGUUUUCUACAAGAGCGGGAGAGAAAGAUGUCGCUUGAAUGAACGCCUUCCUCUCUCUCCCCGGGUGCUUGCUAAGGAGAGGAGAUGCUGGGCGUGUAGAUUUUCAAGCGGCGAUUGACAAGAACUUUGCCCGUUGCUUUUGCCCGUUCCGUGACUUUAAAACAGCACGAAGGCAAACUUGGCUGCAGUACAGCGGUUACAAGCUGCUCCUGGGAAAGGAGGGGAGGCAGAAAGGGCCGGGGGAAGGAGAUCUAGUGUCGCUAAAGCUUUCUGUGCCCACCCUGGAGGAAACUGUAAUUGCAAGCAAAUCUCCUUCACUCCCUGCGCCUCCCGAGAUUUUGUGUUGGGGGGAGGAAUGGGGAAUUCUUUUUUUAAACCUGGAAUUAAAACAAAACAACCCCAAGAGCUUCUCCCUCCCAAAGUCCCCCUGCAAUUCUUGUUAAAAGCGGGUAUAAGCUAACAACCCUUAAAAAAAACCCCACACCAACCCAUAGUGGUGGUGUUGAUGAUGGGAAAUAAAUAAAUAAAGAACUGAGUAAGAGAGAGAGAGGGGCAGGUUCAAUGAUCUAAACAAAGAAAUCAUGGCGGAGUGUUUACAUUUGGCAGCCCCAAAGACUCUGGAUUACGGGAUAAAAAAAAAAAUGCCGCGGCGCAAAGGAGUUUGCAGCCACCUCGCCGUUUCCGGGGAAGAUACUAAACUCAUUUGGAAUAGAAUAGAAGAAAAUUGACAGAUCUAUCACUGCCAAGGGCUACUGAAUAGCCUAUCCAGCACCACAAUGUAUCAUAAAUUGCUGCUGGCUUUCUUCGAAAAUGGAGAAUUUGCAAGCUGGAAAAGUUUUGGUACUUAUUCCCAGGCUUUGUAGUACACAGACUGUGGGCCUGUAUUGUGGUAAAGGGAUGGCUGACUCGUGGAAUGUUAAUUGAUUUGAAUAUUUUCUCAAUAAACAUAGGUUUGCUUGC